GCCCCAGGCACAUCCAUAUUUGUUAAAUGAAGGAUGGUUAGUUGGAUGACAGGAUGGAUUGGUGAACAAAUGAUCAAAUAAACGAAUAGGUUGCUUUAUUCCAGAAAGGAUUUGAGGCAACUUCAUCAGAAGUGAAAGUUUUAAUUUUGGGUUCCAAAGAAAACAUUUCAGAAUGUGUUGCCAAAUCUUAGCUCAUCAUAAUUUGGAAUUGGACAACAUUCCUGAGCACGUGUCCCAGGCAAGGACCCACUGAUGCCCUGGUGUACACACUGGAGAUGAUGAUGAUGACAGUGAUGGUGAUGGUGAGUACUGUGAACAUAGCCUGGGCUGGAGUUAAUGAUGAUGGUGACGGUGAUGGUGAUGGUGAGUACUGUGAACAUAGCCUGGGCUGGAGUUAAUGAUGAUGAUGACGGUGAUGGUGAGUUCUGUGAACAUAGCCUGGGCUGGAGUUAAUGAUGAAGAUGACGGUGAUGGUGAGUACUGUGAACAUAGCCUGGGCUGGAGUUAA
rnacentral:lncRNA from 10 species